AACGAACGCUGGCGGCAUGCCUAACACAUGCAAGUCGAACGAGACCUUCGGGUCUAGUGGCGCACGGGUGCGUAACGCGUGGGAACCUGCCCUUAGGUUCGGAAUAACUCCCCGAAAGGGGUGCUAAUACCGGAUAAUGUCUUCGGACCAAAGAUUUAUCGCCUUUGGAUGGGCCCGAGUUGGAUUAGCUAGUUGGUAGGGUAAAAGCCUACCAAGGCGACGAUCCAUAGCUGGUCUGAGAGGAUGAUCAGCCACACUGGGACUGAGACACGGCCCAGACUCCUACGGGAGGCAGCAGUGGGGAAUAUUGGACAAUGGGCGAAAGCAUGAUCCAGCAAUGCCGCGUGAGUGAUGAAGGCAUUAGGGUUGUAAAGCUCUUUUACCCGGGAUGAUAAUGACAGUACCGGGAGAAUAAGCCCCGGCUAACUCCGUG
rnacentral:rRNA from 1 species